CCUGCUUACACAAUGCUGGAGACUGUACUAACAGAAUUACAAGCAGCUGCAGCCCUGCACUAAACAGGGGCUGCGCAUGGAGAUAGGGGUGGAGCUCAAUAUGAUGAAAACAAAUGUCAUCCUUGUUAAAAUCCAUAUAUUACCUAAGGUGGUGUGAGCUAAAAAGGACCAGAUUGGGGUAUAGCCCAGGUAUGCUCCAAAGCUAAGAGGUAGAAACUGCAGAAGAAAGAAGGAUUGGAAUAAAUCACCAGUGCACACAAAACAAGGACAGUCCUGCCUGAACUGAUGCUUUUUUUUCUUUAUCUUUUCAGAGAUGGGUUCAUUGCAGCUGCUUCUGCUCACUGAAGUCUAGCAAUCUUCUACUUGCAGGAAUUGUUGCCUACUGAAUUCAGUGCCAGGGAUUUAUGGUAUCACAUCACAGACAUAAUAAAUAACAGAAUUUCUACUAAUUAGACCAAGGACACAACUCAUCUGAGUUUUGACACAAAAUUUCAUAGCAUGCCUGAGUUAUGGUUAUGAGUUAUGAGGGCAUGGUUGAUACCACACUGAUAAGGAAGAGAAACCAACAGACUAUCCAGAGAUGGUCUGUUUUGGCAAUUUCUAUGUGUAAGAUAACACUAUAAUAUAGGUAUCCUGCUAUCUUUGAUUUAGAGAAACUAUGGAGACACUCCCAAUUACAGUGGAGACCAAACCACCACAGCAGCAUCAGCAAUCACACACACUUGGACUUAACCUAUCUUUGCAUGACCAACCAUUUGGUUUAAUAGCAGAAUUUCAGACAAAAAUCUGCCUCACAAGUCCAGAGAAACAAAAUAUGAGGAUGAAAGGGAAAAACUAUGAGCUUUCUGAAACUUCACACAGGGUCUCACUUUAAUUUCUUUCACCAUAGCUACAUUCUGCUGCAGAGAAACAGAAUGCACAGAGAAAAACAGAAAUGGUAAGAACAAAGAAUUUUAGACAUUACUAAUAGAUCCCAAAGCAUACAAAAAAAAUUCAGAAAACAGAGUCAGGAAACAUAAGCCUUCUGUUACUGACUGGAAAUAUAGCACAAGAAAAAUCUCAAGUUUGGCUUAGUCAUCCUCACAUUGACUGGGAGGAGAACUAGACUUUUUUUGGUUUUAGAGAGAGUAAAAUGAAUCUGAAAUCUUUAUAUGGUUCAGAGAGGAAGUUUAAGUCCCCUUUGGAACUAAUACUCCAGACUAAAUUUCAUUUUUGGUAGACUAAGAUUUUCUUUUGGGCUAAUUAAAAAUGUUACUAACUCAUUUAUAUUCCUUUCAACCUUAUUAGUAAAGCAAAUACAGCUUUUCAAAAAAGAAAAGCAUUGUUUUGAAGCAAAAGUCAAAGCACUUGUUCUGUAAACGUCAAAAUAGAAAGUCAAUGGGAUAUUUUAUUUCAACGGGCUUCCAUCUAAACAAGAAUACUGAGACAGGGACAUGCUUUCAAAGAAUGUCUGAGUUGUGAUAAAAAAACCUUCUGUCAAAAAACACUAGUCUUUCAACAAAUGUUAAAGUAGCAUCACUGAUUUUCAGAUGUAUGUGGGCACCUAAACAUGCAGAUAGUUCUUAACUGGAAUAUUUUAGAGUGCCAGAAUAUAUAUAUAUCACUUUUGAAAAUGAGAAAUAACCUUCUGACAGAUUUGGGUAUUUUUGAAAAAAUGAUUUAAAUCUAAUUUUAUUAUCACAUUUUGAAUCACCCUUGUUUCCUUC
rnacentral:lncRNA from 1 species